CUAACCCAAACAAAACCAAUUGAGAUCAAAACCCUAAUCUCAACUCAUUCUCUUAUCUCGACUCACUGAGACUGAGAGAGAGCUCUCUUCAUCUUCUCAUCUCUCUCCCAUUUUUCAUCUACGCAAAUCGCACGCGGCGAUCGACAUUCAAACUAUGAUUUGUAUCUCUGAGCUCGUACGUGAUGAUCAAUCUUCGCAAUCGACUCUCUCUCUCUCUUCGGCAACUCUGGGGUACAGAAGACGUGCCAAGUUCAAGAUUUUUGCUUGGGAGGUUUUAGGAGUUGAAGGCUCUGCUUGUUAUUUGUUUGGUUGAUUACAUGUAAAUGCAAGCCGAGGGCUUUAUUUGUAAAAUAGUUAAAACUCUUUUUUUGUGUAACUAAGUAGCAACUUGAAAAGAUGUAAGCCCACAGGGCAUUCUAUUAUCUUUGUAAACAUUAGUAACUUAUAUGAAAUACUUUUUUGUAACAUUAA